rnacentral:tRNA from 1 species
GCCACGUGGAUAGCUCAGUGGGUAAAGCGCCAGGUGAGAAGACGGCGAUUACUCCGAGAGCUAUUACCCGCGCGGGUUCGAAUCGCGCCUGUGGCA